AUUUAUGCAGUUUAAUAUAUAAACAUUAUAUUUUCAAUAUAAAAAUUAUUACUAAUAAUUAAUCAUAAAUA
rnacentral:tRNA from 1 species